CCUACGGGGGGCAGCAGUAGGGAAUAUUGCGCAAUGGGGGAAACCCUGAAGCAGCAACGCCGCGUGGAGGAUGAAGGUUUUCGGAUUGUAAACUCCUUUUGUUAGAGAAGAUAAUGACGGUAUCUAACGAAUAAGCACCGGCUAACUACGUGCCAGCAGCCGCGGUAAUACGGGGGGUGCAAGCGUUACUCGGAAUCACUGGGCGUAAAGAGGGCGUAGGCGGGAUAGCAAGUCAGAUGUGAAAUCCUAUGGCUUAACCAUAGAACUGCAUUUGAAACUGUUAUUCUAGAGUAUGGGAGAGGUAGGUGGAAUUCUUGGUGUAGGGGUAAAAUCCGUAGAGAUCAAGAGGAAUACUCAUUGCGAAGGCGACCUGCUAGAACAUAACUGACGCUGAUGCGCGAAAGCGUGGGGAGCAAACAGGAUUAGAUACCCCAGUAGUC
rnacentral:rRNA from 1 species